CCCGCCCCCAUCUGAGGUGACGGGAAAGGGUUGGGGAAUUUCCACUCUUGAUUAAAAUGACGGCUGAGGUGACGACCUGCAAGAAUUGGUGAGAUUUGGAGUGAAUUCACCCAGCGCUUAGUGAGACUCCUACGUCAAUGGUGCACGAGGCGCGGAGGUAACGCAGUCCCCACCUGUCGCUCUCUGCCAGGCGCGGAGAGUUGCUGCACGCGGAUUGGAGGGAAGAAGCUGUCAGUCUCAGCUAGGCUCCACCGUCCUGCCCGUCCCUGGUUGGAGGAGCGGCGCGUCAGUAACUAGAGAGCCUCCUGAAUACUGGCCUCACCUGAUGCCCAGGAAGCUGGGAGCCUCCCCUGGGGCACAGGCUCUGCUCGCUCUCCGAAGACUGUCCAUGUGGGCCAGGGAGAUGACAGUGGCUGAGACACACCAGGGCAGCCCAAGAGCUGAUGUGAGCCGCAUCAGCACGGCCACACGGAGGAGGUCCAGGUGGAAGCCAGCUCCCUUCUGCAGGCCCUCCCAGGAACAGGCCCUCACCACGCUGAAGAUGCCAUCUCUGUCUUUUGGCUUUGUGCUUGUCCACUGAGACUCAUUUCCUGGAAGGAGAGAAGAAUUCAGGUGGGAACUUCCCUGGUGGCACAAUGGUUAAGAAUCUGCCUGCCAGUGCAGGGGACCCGGGUUUGAUCCCUGGUCCGGGAAGAUCCCACAUGCUGCGGAGCAACUAAGCCCAUGUGCCACAACUACUGAAACUGCGCUCUACAGCCCACGAGCCACAAAUACUGAGCCCGUGAGCCACAACUACUGAUGCCCGCUUGCCUAGAGCCCAUGCUCCACAACAAGAGAAGCCACGGCAAUGAGAAGCCCGCGCACCGCAACAAAGAGUAGACCCCGCUCACCACACCUAGAGAAAGCCCGCGCACAGCAAUGAAGACCCA